UUAAAUUGAAGAGUUUGAUCAUGGCUCAGAUUGAACGCUGGUGGCAGGCCUAACACAUGCAAGUCGAACGGUAACAGGAAGAAGCUUGCUUCUUU
rnacentral:rRNA from 1 species